GACUUAAAAUCCGUUGGCUUUAUAGACCUUGAGGGUUCAAGUGCCCUCUACCCCC
rnacentral:tRNA from 1 species